UACGUAGGGGGCAAGCGUUUGUCCGGAAUCAUUGGGCGUAAAGAGCGUGUAGGCGGCCUGGAAGGUCAGCUGUGAAAACUCGAGGCUCAACCUCGAGACGUCGGUUGAAACCACCUGGCUAGAGUCCGGAAGAGGAGAGUGGAAUUCCCGGUGUAGCGGUGAAAUGCGCAGAUAUCGGGAAGAACACCCGUGGCGAAGGCGGCUCUCUGGGACGGUACUGACGCUGAGACGCGAAAGCGUGGGGAGCGAACAGG
rnacentral:rRNA from 1 species